rnacentral:rRNA from 1 species
GACAGAGGGGGCAAGCGUUGCUCGGAAUCACUGGGCGUAAAGGGCGCGUAGGCGGGAUGGCAAGUCAGUCGUGAAAUCUCUCGGCUCAACCGAGAAACGUCGGCUGAUACUGCCGUUCUUGAGGGAUGCAGAGGAGACUGGAAUUCCCGGUGUAGCGGUGGAAUGUGUAGAGAUCGGGAGGAACACCGGUGGCGAAGGCGGGUCUCUGGGCAUCUCCUGACGCUGAGGCGCGAAAGCGUGGGGAGCAAACGGG